rnacentral:rRNA from 1 species
ACACGUAGGGGCCUGACGUUGUUCGGAAUCAUUGGGCGUAAAGGGCGCGCAGGCGGCCGUCCAAGUCCGGUGUUAAAUGGUCGGGCUCAACCCGAUCAUGCGCUGGAAACUGGGCGGCUUGAGUCCCGUAGGGGAUGCCGGAAUUCAAGGUGUAGGGGGGAAAUCUGUAGAUAUCUGGAAGAACACCGAUGGCGAAGGCAGGCAUCUGGCCGGAGACUGACGCUGAGGCGCGAAGGCGCGGGGAGCGAACAGGUUUAGAUACCCUGGUAGUCCGCGCAGUAAACGAUGCGCACCAGGUGUCGGGCGGCAGCUCCCGGUACCGGAGCUAACGCGAUGAGUGCGCCGCCUGGGGAGUAUGCCCGCAAGGGUGAAACUCAAAUGAAUUGACGGGG